rnacentral:lncRNA from 1 species
AAAAACUAAACCAAACUACUCAUCAAAUUAUUUGAGAUUUUUGAUUUUUGCGCAACUGGAUUGCUUAAUCGGGUAACUUCUAUUCAACUUCUGAGUUUACAGCAUCGAAUAAGGUAUUUUCUUUUUAAAACUUUAUUUAAAAUUGAUUAUUUCGUACGUUUUUAAUUCUGAUUUUCACAAAUUUGAUAUAUUUGUAUCAAUAUUAAUACAAAGUAUGUAGCUAUUUUCUGUCUUUCACAGCCAGAAGGUCAAACUGUCGGCUAUUAUGUGAUACAUACUGUUGUUUGGUUGAAGCUUUAGGCUCUUCACUUACGGAAUAUUUACUUUGACGAUACCACAUGAUAAAAGAAGAAUCGGUUACAAGACCUUUUGAUUUGGUUGCAAUAAGGUAUUAGGGAAUAACUUUCGUAAAUUUCCAGGUAGUAAAUAUUGUUGUAUAUUGAGUUUAUUUGUUAUAUUUUUUUUCACAAACAAAAUUUGAUAUAUAUUAUAAUGUUAAAAAGUCAAACAUUUGCUUAAACCUUUUUUCCUCAUCUGGAAGUUUACUUUCUUCAGCCAAAAAUAGCCACAUACUUUUAUUGAUUUGUUUAUUAUUGAUAUAACUAGGUUGAUUUUUCAAACUAUAGUGUCUUAACAAGAAAAAUCAUGAAGGUACAAUGUAGUAAUAGAAAGAAAUGCAAGUACAUGUUCCAUUUUGUUGUUAUAAUGCAAGUAAUA